rnacentral:lncRNA from 1 species
UCGUAUCACGGCUACAGGAAAUGCACCUAAGAUGCGAAUCCUCGUAGGGAAUGGUUUCCUCGGGCGCUGGAGGCAAAGUAACUGGCGACAACAGGCAGGGCGGCUGCCUCCCGAUAUCCUUGAUGGCAGGUCGAUACCAAGCAUGCUACGCCGCCACGUAGACCGCUGGUGAGAUAGGGUAGGUGGCACAGCGAGCGCAUGCCAUACAUGGCCGCCGUGGUGGGAGCUGUGUCCUCAGAACCAGAAGUCGUCACCGCCACCGCCAAGAUCUAUAACACCAAAGCCGCCGCCACCCGCCCAGUCGCCACCUCCAGAACCGUCUGGGGUAUAGCACCACCCUGCCAUAUAUAAUGACGAGAUUGUGUAGUAGUCGCACUGUCCAUACACGUAGCAGCCCUCGUGCUUGUGGCGAAUACACCGGUACUCGGUCUGCAUGUGACCCACACCACGACUCGCGGACUUUUCCCAUGCAGAGGUGAAACUGCUCACCGCCUUCGCUGACAUGCCCCGGGAUGUCAGGAUAUACCACAACGCCGCAUCUGAGUCGCGGUCGUACUUUUGUACGGCUGCUGACCCAACCGACGUCGACAGCAUCGCUGCCGCCAGUAUCGGUGUAAGGCCUCUGAUAUAGCACGACAGCCAGUCGAGGUAGUCUGCAGGGUCGGACGGCUUGAAAGCCACCGGCAGCGCCAGCGCCGGUUCAGUGCCAGCUGUAGCUGCGUGGUACCAUU